AUUGAACGCUGGCGGCAGGCCUAACACAUGCAAGUCGAACGAGUGGCGGACGGGUGAGUAAUGUCUGGGAAACUGCCCGAUGGAGGGGGAUAACUACGGGAAACGGUAGCUAAUACGGCAUACAACGGGAUGUGCCCAGAUGGGAUAAGCUCGUAGGUGGGGUAACGGCUCACCUAGGCGACGCUCCCUAGAUGGUCUGAGAGGCUGACCAGCCACCCUGCAACUGAGACACGGUCCAGACUCCUACGAGAGGCAGCAGUGGGGAAUGUUGCACAAUGGGCGCAAGCCUGAUGCAGCCAUGCCGCGUGUAUGAAGAAGGCCUUCGGGUUGUAAAGUACUUUCAGCGUGGAGGCGUUACUCGCAGAAGAAGCACCGGCUAACUCCGUGCCAGCAGCCGCGGUAAUAC
rnacentral:rRNA from 1 species